rnacentral:rRNA from 1 species
UACGUAGGCAGCGAGCGUUGUUCGGAGUUACUGGGCGUAAAGAGUGCGUAGGCGGUGACCCAAGUCUGGUGUGAAAUCUCCCGGCUUAACUGGGAGGGUGCGCCGGAAACUGGGUGACUUGAGUAUCGGAGAGGCAAGCGGAAUUCCUGGUGUAGCGGUGAAAUGCGUAGAUAUCAGGAGGAACACCCGUGGUGUAGACGGCUUGCUGGACGGUCACUGACGCUGAGGCACGAAAGCGUGGGUAGCAAACAGG